ensembl:ncRNA Y92C3A.7 ncRNA
UAGUCGGUGUUUGCGUACUUUUGGCGCUACCGUACCCUUCGAAAUUUUAAAAAUGAGCUAGAACUUCUA